AUGAAAGUGCAGACUAAAGGAAUCUAUGCAGCUGUUGUGUUACCAUGGGACACUGGCGUACAAUCCAUUGUAUGUACAAAUUUUACUACAUGUGCUACUGCCAGUUAUCUUCUAGGGAAGCAUACUCCAGCACAUAACAUGAACAUGGUGCAGUUUUUACAAAAGGAAAGAAUUAUGGGGCUGUACAAGGAUACUGAAGAGAUGAUUCCCAUAUCUCUAAGAGACCUACUGAGCAUCACUUUCUCAUACCAAGAUUGUAUAGCGCAUGAAGAUCUCUUUCAUCUGAAGCAGCGAGUGUUUCCUAAAUUUCCUUCUGAUCAAAUCUCAAUGGAGACAUUGACUGUGAUAAUGGUUGUUGCUACUUCCACUUCUUUUGAACCAGCACGACAAGAAUCCAAGUUCAUUGUGGUUUCUGCACAAGAGCUCAAGAACAUUGUUGUUAUUGUACAAGGUCCAUACUAUACCAAUUCUAACCCUACAGGUUGUGGACUAUUCUGGGAAACAAACUCUUCAUGUUCAACCUUGCGACAAUCUGUAUCAUAUAUAUGGGUGUACAAGCGAUUUGACCCAAGAGAUCCACCAUUGGCAUUGUUGUUCAACAUGGCGAUGCAAUCAGGGGAAUGCUAUGCUACGGUGAAACAAAGGAAGUGUCAGAAGCUCAAACAUCUUGAAAUCAUAUGUUGGACGUCUCCAAUUUGGAUCAUAUCAUUUAUGCCUCCCUGA
rnacentral:rRNA from 1 species